UAAAGGCCUGAGGCACUUGGCCUGGUUUACCCACUUGGGUUUUUUUUUUAGGGUACUGGAGAAACGGAUCAGCAAGUGCCAUCAGUAUCAAGAGCACUCUCAGUCUUACUGAAGACCAGGGCUCUUUUCCCAGCACCAACGACAGGACCUCAUCAGCAGGGCAUUGCCUGGAGGGUGAUUUGCUCAGGAUCCCUAAGGACAGCAUCUCCCCGUGCCCUGAUUCUCAAGAGGAGACCCCCACAUUCUCUGAGUCCCUGGAGAGAAUGGACCCUGAGUUCUGUCUACAGAGCCCCAAGCAGGUGACCUCUGAGAAAAGACUGGAAGAGGGAGGAGACAUGGAGGUCCUGUGGAGCCAUGGUUGAAGGCCUGGAGCAGGAGCCUGAUGCAGGCAAAGAUCCACAAAUAAAAGAGGUCAGA
rnacentral:lncRNA from 1 species